CGAAUUCAAAAUAAAAUGUUCAAACGUGUGGGCAGGAACGGCACAAGUCCAGACAAUAACCAGGCCGCAUAACCGUGGCGGCGACGGUGAAGAAUUCAUUAACUGGUUAAUAUUUCAGUUUCAUGACCUGUCGUUGGAUUAAAAUAUAUAUUUGCCUUUCAAUGUCAAUAGCUAUUUUUUUUUUAAAAGAAGAAAAUAUGCAACAGACUACAAUAAUUCAAGAUGCAAAUCAGUUACUUUGUGAAGGAUACCGUGGCUGAUAAUUCAAUCAUACGUUUAUUUGUGCGACUAAAGAAUCCCUGUCCAUGGAAAAAAUCUGAAAAGAACGAUGCGCUCAAUUAUCUGAAGUGUGGGAUAUGACAACGUUCACAGGAUAAAGCUGACAAUCACAUAGAUCCUUGUAGCCUACGUGUUACAAUUCCAGGAGUGCGAGAUGUCCAUAAGAGGAUGUUACCAGGGGAAGCAUUCCAGUCUGCAAGAGGACUGUCUGAUGAAUGCACCAAAUCUCUGAGCGGCCAACAUGAAGACUCUGUGGGGGAGGAUCACAGUUUGAGGGACUGCCUGAGGUGUUAAGUCAUUUUGUUUUGAGUUUAAAGCAUGAUAAAAUGCUCUCCACCUGCCUGAAUCUGUGCCUUUCCAACAACAAUUAAGCUCAACAGCAUCACGUAUAAUCCAAUUUGGUUGUUUGACAGCAUGGCCACCAUUCCAAAAAUUACUUACUUUCACCAUAAGUGGAACAUUCAUAUGCUCGAAGGGCCGAAUGGCCUCCUCCUGCACCUAUUUUUUAUGUUUCUAUCUAUAUGCUGAGAGAAUGGAGCUGCUGGGCUUGUAUACUCUGGAAUUUAGAAGGAUGAGAGGGGAUCUUAUUGAAACACAUAAGAUUAUUAAAGGUUUGGACACGCAGGAAGCAGGAAACAUGUUCCCAUUGUUCAGAUUAAAUGAUCAUCCACAAUCAGUACCCCAUUCCUGCCUUCUCCCCAUAUCCCCUGACUGCUAUAUUUAAGAGCUCUAUCUAGUUCUCUCUUGAAAGUAUCCAGAGAACCGGCUUCCACCACCCUCCGAGGCAAAGAAUUCCACAGACUCACAACUCUCUGUGUGAAAAAGUGUUUCCUCAUCUCUGUUAUAAAUGGCUUACCCCUUAUUCGUAAACUAUGGCCUAUGGUUCUGGACUUCCCCAACAUAGACACAUAGAAAUUAGGUGCAGGAGUAGGCCAUUCGGCCCUUCGAGCCUGCACCGCCAUUCAAUAUGAUCAUGGCUGAUCAUCCAACUCAGUAUCCCGUACCUGCCUUCUCUCCAUACCCCCUAAUCCCCUUAGCCACAAGGGCCACAUCUAACUCCCUCUUAAAUAUAGCCAAUGAACUGGCCUCAACUACCCUCUGUGGCAGAGAGUUCCAGAGAUUCACCACUCUCUGUGUGAAAAAAAGUUCUUCUCAUCUCGGUUUUAAAGGAUUUCCCCCUUAUCCUUAAGCUGUGACCCCUUGUCCUGGACUUCCCUAACAUCGGGAACUAUCUUCCUGCAUCUAGCCUGUCCAACCCCUUAAGAAUUUUGUAAGUUUCUAUAAGUAACAUCUGGGACAUAUUUCCUGCCUCUAGCGUGUCCAAACCCUUAAUAAUCUUAUAUGUUUCAAUAAGACCCCCUCUUAUUCUAAAUUCCAGAGUAUACAAGCCCAGCUGCUCCAUUCUCUCAGCAUAUGGCAGACCUGCCAUCCCGGGAAUUAACAUUGUGAACCUAUGCUGCACUCCCUCAUUAGGAAGAAUGUCCUUCCUCAAAUUUGGGGACCAAAACUACACACAAUACUCCAGAUGUGGUCUCACUAGGGCCCUAUACAACUGCAGAAGGGCCUCUUUGCUCCUAUACUUAACUCCUCUUGAUAUGAAGGCCAAAAUGCCAUUCGCUUCUUCACUGCCUGCUGUACCUGCAUGCUUACUUUCAUUGACUGAUGAACAAGGAGCCCCAGAUGCCGUUGUACUUCACCUUCUCCCAACUUACCACCAUUUAGAUAAUAAUUGGCCUUCCUGUUUUUGCUAUCAAAGUGGAUAACAUUUAUCCACAUUAAACUGCAUCUCCCAUGCAUCCACCCACUCAUGCAACCUGUCCAAGUCAUCCUGCAUUCUCAUAGCAUCCUCACAGUUCACACUCCCACCCAGCUUUGUGUCAUCUGCAAAUUUGCUAUUGUUACUUUGAAUCCCUUCAUCUAAAUCAUUGAAGGGAUUCUAAGAGAAUUGCUAAGGACAAACUGCACCCCUUUCACAUACACCUGGAUCUCCUGCCAUCAGGCAAGAGAUAUCGCAGCAUCAAAGCCCGGACUACAAGACUGCUAAACAGCUUCCUGCCACAGGCUGUGAGGCUGCUGAACAGUCACUCUGUACUCACCUGAUUCUGCGGCUUGGCACGGACACUUUAAUAACUGGCACUGGCCACUUUAAUAACUGGCAUUGGCCACUCAAAUCAGCUGCCCCGGACAUUUUUAUGAUCGGUUUUACUGUAUUUUAACGUUGUUGUUUUUACCUGCAUUUAACUAUACUGUUCCAUCAGGGACUGGACUGAUUUUAGUGUUAUUAUGUGUGAAAUGUUUUAAAUUUCAUGUGCGAUGCUCCAGUAUUCCCUGGGAAAUGUCUUUUCAUUUUGCACUGUACAACUGUUGCUUGCAAGGUGACAAUAAAGGUUGAUUGAUUGA